GUGAGUGUUAUACAGUCAUUUUGGGGUUCUUUUGCUAAACUCAUUGUCUGUAAACAACACAG
rnacentral:pre_miRNA from 2 species